AGGACGAACGCUGGCGGCGUGCUUAACACAUGCAAGUCGAGCGGUAAGGCCUUUCGGGGUACACGAGCGGCGAACGGGUGAGUAACACGUGGGUGAUCUGCCCUGCACUUCGGGAUAAGCCUGGGAAACUGGGUCUAAUACCGGAUAUGACCUCAGGUUGCAUGACUUGGGGUGGAAAGAUUUAUCGGUGCAGGAUGGGCCCGCGGCCUAUCAGCUUGUUGGUGGGGUAAUGGCCUACCAAGGCGACGACGGGUA
rnacentral:rRNA from 1 species